rnacentral:lncRNA from 1 species
UAAAUUCUUUUUGUUGAUACUAGAAGCAGGGCGAAAAUCAAGUGUAGUGACAUUCAGCACAUCAGCUAUGCACACUGUAAAGAAGGGAGAUUGGGAGAUGGAAUUUUAUUUAUGGAUUGUGAUGAAGGACUAGUAAAUGGGAUCGAAUGGCUUACAUUCUUCUAUUGAGCUGCAAAUAGCAGUAACUUUGAAUCUUAAUUUAUAUAACUCUUUCAGGGGCGAACCAAUUAAGUGCCCAGUGCACCCUUAAUUUUUGACAUUUACAAAGUAGCCCAUAAUUUUUUAUGUAAUUCUAUCUUGUCCCUAUUGAAUAAUGUUCCUGGGUCCGCUCCUAAACUCUUUGAUAGAUGGAUGGUGCAAAUUGAAAUGACGGAUAUUUCAAAAAUUUUGUAUAAGCAAAUAAGUUUCAACCAAAUGAUCCCAGAUUCAACGACUCAUACUGUGAUUCUCAAAGGUAUGUACGAGAGGGAGAUCAAAAGCCUAGACCUUUUUUUUUGUCAACUAUUGAAAAUGGGUUUCUCUCAUGAUGUGGUAACAUAUUUUGCCCUUAUUUCAGGCUCUGCAAAUACAGGGUCGAUUCUGUGAUUGUCGAGGCUCGAGGUUAAGUCCAUAAAUUAGGGCCUCCCCAAAAUCAACGUAAAUGCAAAAUUCAAUAGUGUAUUCUGUCCUUUCCCACAAUCUCUUUCUGUGCAGUACCCCCAAAUACCUGUUAGAUCCUCCUCUUCACCUCUCUCUGCCUCCCACCAUCUCCUGUUCCCAAUCUAGGAAACAUCAUACUUAUGUUUUCACUCUGCCAGUCCAUAUAAGCACAAUGAAUAUGAAGAAAGGGGGAGAGGAAGUGAUCAAAGAAUGGCUUUUCUUAUUUUCUAAACCAACUAAAAACUUCUCAGGUCUUUUAGAGAAGGAUGCUCAUGCAAAAUGAUUGAAAUUAAUUCAAUUAAUCAUUCAAUUUCAAAUGCCUGUCCUGAAAAUAACAUGUCUCUUUUCAUCAUUCAGCAACAAAUUCUUGUAUCAGAAGUUGGCAAUGUCCAUGUUCUUAACAUAUGGUACUUUCAUACUUAGAAGGUUUACCUAAUAGAAGCACCGCCAAUAAUUUAUAUCAAACAAAAACAAAUAUGGUAAAUACAUAUCAUUAAUGGAUGAACACCGACACAUAAAUGCACAAAUUGAAGAUAUAUGACUGACUCUAUAGAUUUCAGCUACCG